rnacentral:rRNA from 1 species
GAUGAACGCUGGCGGCGUGCUUAACACAUGCAAGUCGAACGGGAAACCUUUUAUUGAAGCUUCGGCAGAUUUAGCUGGUUUCUAGUGGCGGACGGGUGAGUAACGCGUGGGUAACCUGCCUUAUACAGGGGGAUAACAACCAGAAAUGGUUGCUAAUACCGCAUAAGCGCACAGGACCGCAUGGUCCGGUGUGAAAAACUCCGGUGGUAUAAGAUGGACCCGCGUUGGUUUAGCUAGUUGGCAGGGUAACGGCCUACCAAGGCGACGAUCCAUAGCCGGCCUGAGAGGGUGAACGGCCACAUUGGGACUGAGACACGGCCCAGACUCCUACGGGAGGCAGCAGUGGGGAAUAUUGCACAAUGGGGGAAACCCUGAUGCAGCGACGCCGCGUGAAGGAAGAAGUAUCUCGGUAUGUAAACUUCUAUCAGCAGGGAAGAUAGUGACGGUACCUGACUAAGAAGCCCCGGCUAACUACGUG